GCGGCGAACGGGUGAGUAACACGUGGGUGAUCUGCCCUGUACUUCGGGAUAAGCCUGGGAAACUGGGUCUAAUACCGGAUAUGACCUACGAGAUGCAUGUCUUGUGGUGGAAAGAUUUAUCGGUACAGGAUGGGCCCGCGGCCUAUCAGCUUGUUGGUGGGGUAAUGGCCUACCAAGGCGACGACGGGUAGCCGGCCUGAGAGGGCGACCGGCCACACUGGGACUGAGACACGGCCCAGACUCCUACGGGAGGCAGCAGUGGGGAAUAUUGCACAAUGGGCGAAAGCCUGAUGCAGCGACGCCGCGUGAGGGAUGACGGCCUUCGGGUUGUAAACCUCUUUCGACAGGGACGAAGCGCAAGUGACGGUACCUGUAGAAGAAGCACCGGCCAACUACGUGCCAGCAGCCGCGGUAAUACGUAGGGUGCGAGCGUUGUCCGGAAUUACUGGGCGUAAAGAGCUUGUAGGCGGUUCGUCGCGUCGUUCGUGAAAACUUGGGGCUCAACCCCAAGCUUGCGGGCGAUACGGGCGGACUAGAGUACUUCAGGGGAGACUGGAAUUCCUGGUGUAGCGGUGAAAUGCGCAGAUAUCAGGAGGAACACCGGUGGCGAAGGCGGGUCUCUGGGAAGUAACUGACGCUGAGAAGCGAAAGCGUGGGUAGCGAACAGGAUUAGAUACCCUGGUAGUCCACGCCGUAAACGGUGGGUACUAGGUGUGGGUUUCCUUCCACGGGAUCCGUGCCGUAGCUAACGCAUUAAGUACCCCGCCUGGGGAGUACGGCCGCAAGGCUAAAACUCAAAGGAAUUGACGGAUGCCCGCACAAGCGGCGGAGCAUGUGGAUUAAUUCGAUGCAACGCGAAGAACCUUACCUGGGUUUGACAUACACCGGAAACCUGCAGAGAUGUAGGCAUCGUUGUGGUCGGUGUACAGGUGGUGCA
rnacentral:rRNA from 1 species